rnacentral:rRNA from 1 species
UACGUAGGGUGCGAGCGUUAAUCGGAUUUACUGGGCGUAAAGCGUGCGCAGGCGGUGGUGUAAGGCAGAUGUGAAAUCCCCGGGCUCAACCUGGGAACUGCAUUUGUGACUGCAUCGCUGGAGUGCGGCAGAGGGGGAUGGAAUUCCGCGUGUAGCAGUGAAAUGCGUAGAUAUGCGGAGGAACACCGAUGGCGAAGGCAAUCCCCUGGGCCUGCACUGACGCUCAUGCACGAAAGCGUGGGGAGCAAACAGG